ensembl:antisense Gm15564 predicted gene 15564
AGAAAGUGUUCUAUCAGAGAGACUUAGGGGUUAGUGUUGCCAAUUUGACCCAAGCUAGAAUCCUCUGGAAAGAGGGGACCUCAAUUGAGAAAAUGCUUCCAGGAGAUACAGUUUUAAGGAAUUUUCUUAAUUAGUGAUUGCUAGGGAAGGGCUCAGCCCAUUGUGGAUGGUACCAUCACUGGGCUGGUGGUUCUGGACUCUAUAAGAAAGAAGUGUACUAAGCCAGGAGGAGCAAGCCAGUAAGCAGCAUCCCUCCAUGGCCUCUGUAUCAACCCGCUGGAGUUCCUGUCCUGGCUUCCUUCAAUGACUGCCUGACCAUAGCUGAGCUGAUAUCUGAUCAUUAUAUUCUGCUCAGGAGAAGAGGGCAUCAGAUACUACAACCUGGCCAUCAGCCCCCCCCCCAUGCCUGCUUUCUCUCCGUGGACCCCACUUUUCUGUCUCCUCCUCUGCACAGCAUCUCAAUGAAUUAGCCUGAGAGCUGUACCCAAUAAACCUGCCUUUAUAUACUUU